rnacentral:rRNA from 1 species
UACAGAGAGUGCGAACGUUGUUCGGAAUCACUGGGCUUAAAGCGCACGUAGGCGGCAUCGUAAGUGUCUGGUGAAAUCCCACGGCUCACCCGUGGAACUGCCCGGCAGACUGCGAUGCUCGAGUGUGGUAGGGGAGAACGGAACUCCUGGUGGAGCGGUGAAAUGCGUAGAUAUCAGGAGGAACACCGGUGGCGAAGGCGGUUCUCUGGUCCACAACUGACGCUGAGGUGCGAAAGCUAGGGGAGCAAACGGG